rnacentral:rRNA from 1 species
CCUACGGGAGGCUGCAGUGAGGAAUAUUGGUCAAUGGGAGAGAUCCUGAACCAGCCAAGCCGCGUGAGGGAAGACGGCCCUAUGGGUUGUAAACCUCUUUUGUCGGAGAACAAAACCCGGGACGUGUCCCGGACUGCGUGUAUCCGAAGAAAAAGCAUCGGCUAACUCCGUGCCAGCAGCCGCGGUAAUACGGAGGAUGCGAGCGUUAUCCGGAUUUAUUGGGUUUAAAGGGUGCGUAGGCGGUAGGUGAAGUCAGCGGUAAAAUUGCGGGGCUCAACCCCGUCGAGCCGUUGAAACUGGCAGACUGGAGUGGGCGAGAAGUACGCGGAAUGCGCGGUGUAGCGGUGAAAUGCAUAGAUAUCGCGCAGAACUCCGAUUGCGAAGGCAGCGUACCGGCGCCAGACUGACGCUGAGGCACGAAAGCGUGGGGAUCGAACAGGAUUAGAUACCCGAGUAGUC